rnacentral:rRNA from 1 species
GUGGGGAAUAUUGCACAAUGGGGGAAACCCUGAUGCAGCGACGCCGCGUGAGUGAAGAAGUAUUUCGGUAUGUAAAGCUCUAUCAGCAGGGAAGAUGAUGACGGUACCUGACUAAGAAGCCCCGGCUAACUACGUGCCAGCAGCCGCGGUAAUACGUAGGGGGCAAGCGUUAUCCGGAUUUACUGGGUGUAAAGGGAGCGCAGGCGGUUCGGCAAGUCUGAUGUGAAAACCCGGGGCCCAACCCCGGGACUGCAUUGGAAACUGUCGGACUGGAGUGUGGGAGAGGCAGGCGGAAUUCCUAGUGUAGCGGUGAAAUGCGUAGAUAUUAGGAGGAACACCAGUGGCGAAGGCGGCCUGCUGGACCAAGACUGACGCUGAGGCUCGAAAGCGUGGGGAGCAAACAGGAUUAGAUACCCUAGUAGUCC